rnacentral:rRNA from 1 species
GAUGAACGCUGGCGGCGUGCUUAACACAUGCAAGUCGAACGGGAAUUAUUUUAUUGAAACUUCGGUCGAUUUAAUUUAAUUCUAGUGGCGGACGGGUGAGUAACGCGUGGGUAACCUGCCUUAUACAGGGGGAUAACAGUCAGAAAUGGCUGCUAAUACCGCAUAAGCGCACAGAGCUGCAUGGCUCAGUGUGAAAAACUCCGGUGGUAUAAGAUGGACCCGCGUUGGAUUAGCUUGUUGGCAGGGUAACGGCCUACCAAGGCGACGAUCCAUAGCCGGCCUGAGAGGGUGAACGGCCACAUUGGGACUGAGACACGGCCCAGACUCCUACGGGAGGCAGCAGUGGGGAAUAUUGCACAAUGGGGGAAACCCUGAUGCAGCGACGCCGCGUGAAGGAAGAAGUAUCUCGGUAUGUAAACUUCUAUCGGCAGGGAAGAUAGUGACGGUACCUGACUAAGAAGCCCCGGCUAACUACGUG